rnacentral:rRNA from 1 species
AGCGAACGCUGGCGGCAGGCCUAACACAUGCAAGUCGAACGAAGUCUUCGGACUUAGUGGCGGACGGGUGAGUAACACGUGGGAACGUGCCCUUUGGUACGGAAUAACUCGGGGAAACUUGAGCUAAUACCGUAUGUGCCUUUCGGGGGAAAGAUUUAUCGCCAUUGGAGCGGCCCGCGUCUGAUUAGCUAGUUGGUGAGGUAAAGGCUCACCAAGGCGACGAUCAGUAGCUGGUCUGAGAGGAUGAUCAGCCACAUUGGGACUGAGACACGGCCCAAACUCCUACGGGAGGCAGCAGUGGGUAAUCUUGCGCAAUGGGCGAAAGCCUGACGCAGCCAUGCCGCGUGAAUGAUGAAGGUCUUAGGAUUGUAAAAUUCUUUCACCGGGGACGAUAAUGACGGUACCCGGAGAAGAAGCCCCGGCUAACUUCGUGCCAGCAGCCGCCGUAAGAC